CAAGUCGUUAUAAAUCCAGACGUCCCAAGAAAUCCACCGCUAUCAACCGUACACCUACAAUACUCCCUCAUGAUAUCCCAGGAUUCAGUCUACCCCUAACACGCAAAGUCCAAGUUCAAGAACCGGUCCGUUCGCCCAACGCUUUCCCGAACGAAGAAGCAUCACCGGGUGAGUACGACCUUGAUACGAUGGUUGUACGAACGAAUAAUAAUAUGCCAGUCAGUACAGUACUUCAUACGAGCCAAUCAAAUCCAGAUAUCACAAAAAUUUCAAAGAUGGAACCUAUAUCUCCACUUCAAAGAAAAUCAUUCAAUCAUAAGCUGUCUGGUUCUAUUUCUCUACAAGAUUUGAAUAUUUAUUCGCCCAAAACGAGAAGCAGGUAUGGUAUAUUGUUUAGGUUUGGAGAACACUAUAUUUCUGUAUAUAAUAUAGCGACGCGGAGGGAGGGGAUUCUAAUCAUCUUAUAUUGUAAAUGAGAGC
rnacentral:lncRNA from 1 species